rnacentral:rRNA from 1 species
GAUCCUGGCUACAGAACGAACGCUGGCGGCAUGCCUAACACAUGCAAGUCGAACGAGACCUUCGGGUCUAGUGGCGCACGGGUGCGUAACGCGUGGGAACCUGCCUUUAGGUUCGGAAUAACUCGGAGAAAUUUGAGCUAAUACCGGAUAAUGUCUUCGGACCAAAGAUUUAUCGCCUUUAGAUGGGCCCGCGUAAGAUUAGCUAGUUGGUGGGGUAAAGGCCUACCAAGGCGACGAUCUUUAGCUGGUCUGAGAGGAUGAUCAGCCACACUGGGACUGAGACACGGCCCAGACUCCUACGGGAGGCAGCAGUGGGGAAUAUUGGACAAUGGGCGAAAGCCUGAUCCAGCAAUGCCGCGUGAGUGAUGAAGGCCUUAGGGUUGUAAAGCUCUUUUACCCGAGAUGAUAAUGACAGUAUCGGGAGAAUAAGCUCCGGCUAACUCCGUG